rnacentral:rRNA from 1 species
UACAGAGGUCUCAAGCGUUGUUCGGAAUUACUGGGCGUAAAGGGCGUGUAGGCGGCCAACUAAGUCCGACGUGAAAUCCCCAGGCUUAACCUGGGAACUGCGUCGGAUACUGGAUGGCUUGAAUCCGGGAGAGGGAUGCGGAAUUCCAGGUGUAGCGGUGAAAUGCGUAGAUAUCUGGAGGAACACCGGUGGCGAAGGCGGCAUCCUGGACCGGCACUUGACGCGUAAAAGCGCGAAAGCCAGGGGAGCAAACGGG